UACGGAGGGUGCGAGCGUUGUCCGGAAUCACUGGGCGUAAAGGGCGCGUAGGCGGCGCGGUUAGUCGGCGGUGAAAGCCCAGAGCUCAACUCCGGGUCGGCCGUCGAUACUUCCGGGCUUGAGCACUGUAGAGGCAGAUGGAAUUCCGGGUGUAGCGGUGGAAUGCGUAGAGAUCCGGAAGAACACCGGUGGCGAAGGCGGUCUGCUGGGCAGUUGCUGACGCUGAUGCGCGACAGCGUGGGGAGCAAACAGG
rnacentral:rRNA from 1 species